CUUCGCUGAUGAGUCUCCACUUCAUGGUCCGUGUUUCUGAGCUCUGUGAUAAAAGUGGAAGUUCUGACAAG
ensembl:snoRNA SNORD18 Small nucleolar RNA SNORD18